rnacentral:rRNA from 1 species
AGUGAACGCUGGCGGUAGGCCUAACACAUGCAAGUCGAACGGCAGCACAGUAAGAGCUUGCUCUUACGGGUGGCGAGUGGCGGACGGGUGAGGAAUACAUCGGAAUCUACUUUUUCGUGGGGGAUAACGUAGGGAAACUUACGCUAAUACCGCAUACGACCUACGGGUGAAAGCAGGGGAUCUUCGGACCUUGCGCGAUUGAAUGAGCCGAUGUCGGAUUAGCUAGUUGGCGGGGUAAAGGCCCACCAAGGCGACGAUCCGUAGCUGGUCUGAGAGGAUGAUCAGCCACACUGGAACUGAGACACUGUCCAGACUCCUACGGGAGGCAGCAGUGGGGAAUAUUGGACAAGGGGCGCAAGCCUGAUCCAGCCAUACCGCGUGGGUGAAGAAGGCCUUCGGGUUGUAAAGCCCUUUUGUUGGGAAAGAAAAGCAGCAGGUUAAUACCCCGCUGUUCUGACGGUACCCAAAGAAUAAGCACCGGCUAACUUCGU